CUUAAAGGAAUUGACGGGACCGCACAGCGGUGGAUGAUGUGGUUUAAUUCGAUGCAACGCGAAAACCUUACCUACCCUUGACAUGUCCGGAAUCCCGAAGAGAUUUGGGAGUGCUCGCAAGAGAGCCGGAACACAGGUGCUGCAUGGCUGUCGUCAGCUCGUGUCGUGAGAUGUUGGGUUAAGUCCCGCAACGAGCGCAACCCUUGUCAUUAGUUGCCAUCAUUUGGUUGGGCACUCUAAUGAGACUGCCGGUGACAAACCGGAGGAAGGUGGGGAUGACGUCAAGUCCUCAUGGCCCUUAUGGGUAGGGCUUCACACGUCAUACAAUGGUCGGUACAGAGGGUUGCCAACCCGCGAGGGGGAGCUAAUCCCACAAAGCCGAUCGUAGUCCGGAUCGCAGUCUGCAACUCGACUGCGUGAAGUCGGAAUCGCUAGUAAUCGUGGAUCAGCAUGUCACGGUGAAUACGUUCCCGGGUCUU
rnacentral:rRNA from 1 species